GGGGGUAUAGCUCAGUUGGUAGAGCGCCUGCUUUGCAAGCAGGACGUCAGCGGUUCAAGUCCGCUUACCUCCAUCA
rnacentral:tRNA from 1 species